rnacentral:lncRNA from 1 species
AGAUGCUGUCUUUUGCAGUCCUCCGAGAGGUUAGGGAUGUGGGAGGUCCCUGGGGGCCAUCUCUUACAAGACACAGUUUCCACUAAAUUGGAUCGUAUUUGUACAUCUCUACACCUGUGCGUGAUAGUAAACUUUUGCACCCAAAUACCCCGACCCCUGAAGGAGAGUGUGAGUUAAAAGGAUCUGAAGAACGGACCCUUUGUUUAAGCCUUCUCCGCUGGUGGUAUACUUACGAGGACCAGAGGUGAGGUGUCAGCAAGGAGGCCCACAGGUGGAAAGUGCUUUGGGCCAAUGGUACACACCUGCUUUAUUGGAUAGACGCAGAGAAGUAUGCCUGGUCACAGCCAGAGCUUACUCGAUGGUCUGAGAGUACCUGUGCUGAAAUGGAAUUGUCUUUGAGUGGACACUUCUUAGAUGAGACCUAUUGUGGCCAAUAGCUCCUGAGGAACUGAAGCCUUCAGUUCAAAACUUGUGUGAGAAAAAUGAAUCUUGCCAACUACUGGAGUGAGCUUAGAAAUGAAUCCAUCCCCAGUUGACCCUUGAAUGUAGCCUUGUCAGAGACCCAGAGACAAAGCAUCCUGCUAAUCUGCACUGGGUUCUAGGCCCACAGAAACCAUGGGAUAAUAACUUUGUGUUGCUAUAAGCCACUGAAAACAAACAAAUAAAAUACUUAAGAUGUUCCCCUGUGGAAGGGUUCCAUUGCCAGGGAUCUGCACUUCACAACCAAAGGGAUUAAAGAGAAUUGCCUUCUUCAGAUUUCAGACUGUGGCCUGCUUCUGGUUUUUCUUUCUAUAUUCAUAUAUAUGUUUGUUUAAAUCAUCCUACUUUUGGAGCAGGAAAAGUUACUAUUACAGUUUAUACAAAGGGAAGAAAUCUGGUACAUGCUAAAGUUAUUCAUCUGUAACUACCUGACGAGCCCAAUUAGUUGCUUGCUCCUAUGGAUUCUGAGCCUAAAAUCCCUUCAACAGAUCUUUGACCUUUUCUAAGUUAAGUUUUUGGAAGUAUCCUAUUUGUUCACUUACUUGGGCCAGAGACUAUAGAGAUUAAGAGAAAGUUUGAUAUUUGACCCUAAUUUUAGGCUAAAACAAUUUAGAUGGAAAGAACAGACACAAUUCAAUUUAACCAUCUUCAACUGCUGUGCUUUAGAAAGCUGGGAGUGUGGAGAAUGGAGUAGGUGUACAGAAAAAUAAGAACAGUUCUGUUCUUCAGGGCUUGAUAAAGGCUGCUGUGAGUUGGAUGGACAAUAAUUACUACUGACUAGGUCUAGCUGGGAUAGUUAGGGGAGACUUUCUGAAAGAGGCAACACAUGAGCUGGGUUCUAAAUCUCAAAUAGGAUUUGAUGGCUGAAGAUGAGGGUAAUAAAACAAGAGAAACAAGUACAUUCCAGAUAGAAAGAAUAGUAUAAGCCAAGAAAAACCUAUUCCAGGGCAGCAGGGAAGAGUCUGAAGUGGCAAAACAAAGUAGGAGGCAAAGCUGUCAAUAUAAGUAACUUGGUAGAGAAACAUUAGGAGUUUGGAUUUUAUCCCAUUGACUAGGAGGAUUUAAAAACAGAAAAUGCUCACAGGGGCCAGGCAAGUUAUGAGUAAAUAAAAGGUCCAGGUGUAAGUGCAACAGGGCCCAUGGACAUAGGAAUGGGGGAUGUGAAAAACCAACCUUUGCUAACAGUGAGUUCUACUAUGCAGUUUUAGCUGAUUAUAGCCAGACUCGAAAGCAACCUUUGUAGGGUUGACAGUUCUUGUGAUUGUUCAAGAAAAAAAUUUAUGUAAAAUCUACUGACUUGAAAAUACUAGAUUAAUUUAUUUAAUGUUAUAGAGCUCAAAUAAAACACAUUUGUCUUAUUUAUA